AAACAUCGCCUCCUGCAACACAUUAAAUAUAGGAGGUCCAACCUGCCCAGUGACUACAAGUUUAACGGCCGCGGUAUUUUGACCGUGCAAAGGUAGCGCAAUCACUUGUCUUUUAAAUAAAGACCUGUAUGAAUGGCCAAACGAAGGCUUAACUGUCUCCCCUUUCAAGUCAGUGAAAUUGAUCUACCCGUGCAGAAGCGGGUAUAACAAUACAAGACGAGAAGACCCUUUGGAGCUUAAGGUACAAAAUUUAACCACGUUAAGCAACUUAAUAAUAAAGCAAUAAACCUUGUGGAAUGUAAAACUUUACCUUCGGUUGGGGCGACCACGGAGUAAAACAAAACCUCCAUAGUGGACUGGGAUAAUUUCCUAAAACCAAGAGAGACAUCUCUAAGCCACAGAAUAUCUGACCAAAAAUGAUCCGGACACCAAGACCGAUCAACGAACCAAGUUACCCUAGGGAUAACAGCGCAAUCCUCUCCCAGAGUCCAUAUCGACGAGGGGGUUUACGACCUCGAUGUUGGAUCAGGACACCCUAAUGGUGCAGCCGCUAUUAAGGGUUCGUUUGUUCAACGAUUAAAGUCCUACGUGA
rnacentral:rRNA from 1 species